UCCAGUGGUUGUGACGCAGACCGAACGCCCUGCAAACCCCCACGUGUUUAUUAUCUGGCUCUUAAAAAAAUGUGUUGGCUCCUGGCGUGAUGACAAGAUCACCUGUGUAAGAACUACAUGAACUCAGAGCAGAUUUCUUUUAGUCCAUCUUAUUAAGUUUUUGUUUUUUCCAGUUCAUAAGACACCCAGUGCGAUGGGUUAUACAUCCACCCUGCUUCCCUGCGAUCCUGUGCCUCAAGGACAGCUGACCACAUUCUCAGUUGAGGAAGAUCGUAAGCUCCAUGAAGACAAGACUAAAUGCCUAUCAGGUCCACAGAAGUAUUCCUAGCAUUUGGCACAGGGCCCAGCGCAACGGCAUAAUAGAUAUUUGUUGAGAGGAUGUACAUGGCCUUACAGUCACACCGUCAGUACAGCGUAUGACCUGAGUUGAUCCAACAGCACGGAUGGAGUUACCGUGAUUCAGCAAGACUUUCUCAACUGCACUCGGAACCAAUACGAUGCUCCUGGGAGGUGACCAGCUGUGGUGCAGGCCAUAGCCUGUGACUCUAGGAAGGAAGCAUCGAGUUUCAGCCCAUGGGGGAAUUGAACCCCUGACCUUGGCCUCAUUAGCACCAUGUUCUAGCCAACUGCGCUAAUUGGUCACACACGGCAAAAAAUUUGGAGACAUGGAAAAGAUGUCAGAGCAUAGGAUUCUUGAUUUUAAUGUUUGUUUUGAUCUGAUGGAAAGAACCUUAGACUUUGGAGUCAGAUUGAGCUUGGUUUGAGUCUUAGCUCCCUGUCUCAAUGUCUGGGUUACCUUGGUUUGCUCUCUGAACAAUGGGAAUAAUCAUGCCAACCUGGAAACAAAAUUUUAGAUGUUAGUGGAAGUAAACUAAUUUACAUGGGAAUACCUGGCAUAGAGUGAAGCACGCAGUCAAUACAUAUUCUUCUAUGGAUUGGUUUCAAUCAUUAUAGGAUGGACUGAUGAUGUAGAUAACCACAGCGCUUUUCCCCCAGCUGGAUCUUUCCCCUCUUUCUCCACCCUCUGUCAUCUUCAGUGACACAACUAACAUGUUUAGGGCACCAUUCAGUUACAAAGUGAAAUAUUAAUGUGAUAAUAAUAAAUGCUUGAAAGAGCAG